rnacentral:rRNA from 1 species
UUCGUUAACGAACGAGACCUCGACCUGCUAAAUAGUUAGGCAAACUCUUCGGGUUUUGUCCUAUUACUUCUUAGAGGGACUAUCGGUGAUUUAGCCGAUGGAAGUUCGAGGCAAUAACAGGUCUGUGAUGCCCUUAGAUGCCCUGGGCCGCACGCGCGCUACACUGAUACGUUCAUCGAGCUUACAACCUUGGUUGAGAGGCCUGGGUAAUCUUCUAAAACCGUAUCGUGCUGGGGAUAGAUUAUUGUAAUUUUUAAUCUUCAACGAGGAAUUCCUAGUAAACGCGAGUCAUCAACUCGCAUUGAUUACGUCCCUGCCCUUUGUACACACCGCCCGUCGCUAAUACCGAUUGAAUGGAUA